rnacentral:rRNA from 1 species
UCGGAUUGGUGCCUUCGGGAACUUAGAUACAGGUGCUGCAUGGCUGUCGUCAGCUCGUGUCGUGAGAUGUUGGGUUAAGUCCGCAACGAGCGCAACCCUUUUCCUUAUUUGCCAGCGGGUAAUGCCGGGAACUUUAAGGAUACUGCCAGUGACAAACUGGAGGAAGGCGGGGACGACGUCAAGUCAUCAUGGCCCUUACGGCCAGGGCUACACACGUGCUACAAUGGUCGGUACAAAGGGUUGCUACCUCGCGAGAGGAUGCUAAUCUCAAAAAGCCGAUCGUAGUCCGGAUCGCAGUCUGCAACUCGACUGCGUGAAGUCGGAAUCGCUAGUAAUCGCGGAUCAGAAUGCCGCGGUGAAUACGUUCCCGGGCCUUGUACACACCGCCCGUCACACCAUGGGAGUUUGUUGCACCAGAAGUAGGUAGUCUAACCGCAAGGAGGACGCUUACCACGGUGUGGCCGAUGACUGGGGUGAAGUCGUAACAAGGUAGGCGUAGAUGA